GCCAGGUGUGGUGGUGCACACCUGUAUUCCCAACUACUCGGGAGGCUGAGGUGGGCGGAUCGCUUGAGCCCAGGAGGCUGAGGUUGCAUUGAACCAAUCACGCCAUUGCCCUCCAGUCUGGGCAACAGAGGGGAGGCUCCAUCUAAAAAAAAAAAGGCUGGGCGCAGUGGCUCAUGCCUGUAAUCCCAGCACUUUGGGAGGCUAAGGCGAGUGGAUCGCCUGAGGUCAGGAGUUCGAGACCAGCCUGGCCAACAUAGUGAAACCUCGUCUCU
rnacentral:sRNA from 1 species